AUCGCCCAACAUGUCAUUCUUAAGGCCACAGAAGAUGGAUCAGGCAUCGGAGCAGCUCUCCUUGCUGCCUCUCAUUCAUCCUACAGUGUGGAUAGCGUACAGUUGCUAUAAAUAUAUAUUAUUUAUAUUUACAUAUAGCCCCUGUAAAUGUAGAAUUCAUUUCAAUUUUUUGAAAGAUGAAAUUUUAGAGACAACCCUUUUAAUAA
rnacentral:misc_RNA from 1 species